GACGAACGCUGGCGGCGUGCUUAACACAUGCAAGUCGAACGGAAGGGCCCUGCUUUUGUGGGGUGCUCGAGUGGCGAACGGGUGAGUAACACGUGAGUAACCUGCCCUUGACUUUGGGAUAACUUCAGGAAACUGGGGCUAAUACCGGAUAGGAGCUCCUGCUGCAUGGUGGGGGUUGGAAAGUUUCGGCGGUUGGGGAUGGACUCGCGGCUUAUCAGCUUGUUGGUGGGGUAGUGGCUUACCAAGGCUUUGACGGGUAGCCGGCCUGAGAGGGUGACCGGCCACAUUGGGACUGAGAUACGGCCCAGACUCCUACGGGAGGCAGCAGUGGGGAAUAUUGCACAAUGGGCGGAAGCCUGAUGCAGCAACGCCGCGUGCGGGAUGACGGCCUUCGGGUUGUAAACCGCUUUCGCCUGUGACGAAGCGUGAGUGACGGUAACGGGUAAAGAAGCACCGGCUAACUACGUG
rnacentral:rRNA from 1 species